CUGAAUCCAUAGGUUAAUGAGGCGAACCGGGGGAACUGAAACAUCUAAGUACCCCGAGGAAAAGAAAUCAACCGAGAUUCCCCCAGUAGCGGCGAGCGAACGGGGAGGAGCCCAGAGCCUGAAUCAGUGUGUGUGUUAGUGGAAGCGUCUGGAAAGGCGCGCGAUACAGGGUGACAGCCCCGUACACAAAAAUGCACAUACUGUGAGCUCGAUGAGUAGGGCGGGACACGUGGUAUCCUGUCUGAAUAUGGGGGGACCAUCCUCCAAGGCUAAAUACUCCUGACUGACCGAUAGUGAACCAGUACCGUGAGGGAAAGGCGAAAAGAACCCCGGCGAGGGGAGUGAAAAAGAACCUGAAACCGUGUACGUACAAGCAGUGGGAGCACAGAGCAAUCUGUGUGACUGCGUACCUUUUGUAUAAUGGGUCAGCGACUUAUAUUCUGUAGCAAGGUUAACCGAAUAGGGGAGCCGAAGGGAAACCGAGUCUUAACUGGGCGUUAAGUUGCAGGGUAUAGACCCGAAACCCGGUGAUCUAGCCAUGGGCAGGUUGAAGGUUGGGUAACACUAACUGGAGGACCGAACCGACUAAUGUUGAAAAAUUAGCGGAUGACUUGUGGCUGGGGGUGAAAGGCCAAUCAAACCGGGAGAUAGCUGGUUCUCCCCGAAAGCUAUUUAGGUAGCGCCUCGUGAAUUCAUCUCCGGGGGUAGAGCACUGUUUCGGCAAGGGGGUCAUCCCGACUUACCAACCCGAUGCAAACUGCGAAUACCGGAGAAUGUUAUCACGGGAGACACACGGCGGGUGCUAACGUCCGUCGUGAAGAGGGAAACAACCCAGACCGCCAGCUAAGGUCCCAAAGUCAUGGUUAAGUGGGAAACGAUGUGGGAAGGCCCAGACAGCCAGGAUGUUGGCUUAGAAGCAGCCAUCAUUUAAAGAAAGCGUAAUAGCUCACUGGUCGAGUCGGCCUGCGCGGAAGAUGUAACGGGGCUAAACCAUG
rnacentral:rRNA from 1 species